AGAGUUUGAUCAUGGCUCAGGAUGAGCGCUGGCGGCGUGCCUAAUACAUGCAAGUCGAGCGGAAAGGCCUCUUCGGAGGUACUCGAGCGGCGGACGGCUGAGUAACACGUAGGAACCUACCCCAAAGUGAGGGAUAACUGCUCGAAAGAGUAGCUAAUACCGCAUGUGAUCUUCGGAUUAAAGCUUUAUGCGCUUUGGGAAGGGCCUGCGUCCGAUUAGCUUGUUGGUGAGGUAAUGGCUUACCAAGGCGAUGAUCGGUAGCUGGUCUGAGAGGAUGAUCAGCCAGACUGGGACUGAGACACGGCCCAGACUCCUACGGGAGGCAGCAGUAGGGAAUUUUCCACAAUGGGGGCAACCCUGAUGGAGCAACGCCGCGUGCAGGAUGAAGGCCUUCGGGUUGUAAACUGCUUUUAUCUGUGACGAUUAUGACGGUAGCAGAUGAAUAAGGACCUGCUAACUACGUGCCAGCAGCCGCGGUCAUACGUAGGGUCCAAGCGUUAUCCGGAAUUACUGGGCGUAAAGAGUUGCGUAGGUGGCAGAGUAAGUAGAUAGUGAAAGCGUGUGGCUCAACCAUACAUCCAUUAUCUAAACUGCUCAGCUAGAGGAUGAGAGAGGUAGAUGGAAUUCCUAAUGUAGGGGUAAUAUCCGUAGAUAUUAGGAGGAACACCGAUGGCGUAAGCAGUCUACUGGCUCAUUCCUGACACUAAGGCACGAAAGCGUGGGGAGCAAACAGGAUUAGAUACCCUAGUAGUCC
rnacentral:rRNA from 1 species